UAGCCGGCCUGAGAGGGUGACCGGCCACACUGGGACUGAGACACGGCCCAGACUCCUACGGGAGGCAGCAGUGGGGAAUAUUGCACAAUGGGCGAAAGCCUGAUGCAGCGACGCCGCGUGAGGGAUGACGGCCUUCGGGUUGUAAACCUCUUUCAGCAGGGAAGAAGCGAAAGUGACGGUACCUGCAGAAGAAGCGCCGGCUAACUACGUGCCAGCAGCCGCGGUAAUACGUAGGGCGCAAGCGUUGUCCGGAAUUAUUGGGCGUAAAGAGCUCGUAGGCGGUUUGUCGCGUCUGCUGUGAAAGCCCGGGGCUCAACCCCGGGUCUGCAGUGGGUACGGGCAGACUAGAGUGCAGUAGGGGAGACUGGAAUUCCUGGUGUAGCGGUGAAAUGCGCAGAUAUCAGGAGGAACACCGAUGGCGAAGGCAGGUCUCUGGGCUGUAACUGACGCUGAGGAGCGAAAGCAUGGGGAGCGAACAGGAUUAGAUACCCUGGUAGUCCAUGCCGUAAACGUUGGGCACUAGGUGUGGGGGACAUUCCACGUUUUCCGCGCCGUAGCUAACGCAUUAAGUGCCCCGCCU
rnacentral:rRNA from 1 species